GGAAGUGAGGGUGAUCGGGCUGUAAUGUCUGUCACACUAUUAAUAGCCAGAGUUGAUUCAGCUGAUUCAGCUGGCUAAACGGAUGUCCCCCUCCCUUCCUCACUGCUCUAUGUGUACCCUUCCCAAAACUGUGAGCUUGGUGGAAGAGGACAACCUCCCUGCUAGAGGAGUACUGUUCUUCGGUCUAGGGUAUAUGAGUAGCUGCAUUCCCUUGCUUGCUAGAAUCUCCAAACAAGCUCUCAAGAAGCCAGAGAGAGACACAGGUAAACACACCCCUACUCACUGCUGCUGUGCCUCCAGCAGGCAUUACU
rnacentral:snRNA from 1 species